CCGGCCCGUCAGAAAACCCAACAGUAAUGAUAAAACCCAAAGAAUUAAAAAGUCCAAAAUUAUUAAAAUCUAUUUACAAAAACCCAAAUCACAUUUAACCCAAUUCCUACAGGCCCAAAAGGCCCAAUGGCCUAAAACAAUUUAGAAACCCUAGGGUUUCCGAAUCACCCUUGCGCCGUACACCCUCCAUGUGCGCCCUUGGCAUGCACACUGCCCAAAGUUUGACUUUGCCUUCGACCUUACACCAAAAUAGCAUGUUUUCACCGCCGUUGACCCCCCUAGGCCUGCAAAACAGAAGCAAAAAAAAAAAAGAGAGAAAGCAAAGAAGAAAGCAAAGCAAAACAAUAACAAAUAGUCAUUGUAUUCGGCUAUAAAUAGGCCUCAGACAAACAAUGUAAUUUUUUACGAUACAUAUCAAUCAAAACAGAGAAUUUUUGAGAGGAAAAGGUGAUUUUUUUUAUAAGUUUAUUCCAAAUAACGCAUACAUAUAUACAUACUUUAAAUAAAAAGGGGAUUUUUCUCACAUUCUUCAAGUCGGCGAAGUUUGAAUCGAAGAGUUCCCUUGUUUUUUUUCCGGUUCUCUAGCGGUUUUUGGUCUUUUUAAACCCAGAUUUGAGUCGGGGAAGGAAACCGGGUUGAAAAGGGGGCGAUUUCGUGCCUCCGGCCACCAUGUACGGUGGUCACCGGCGACAGACCAACGGUGGCCCGAUCGCCGGAGAAGGAAACCCUAAAGAGAAACCCCUUCCCCUUUUUCCUUUUUUUUUUCAG
rnacentral:lncRNA from 1 species